rnacentral:rRNA from 1 species
AAUGGGCGAAAGCCUGAUCCAGCAAUGCCGCGUGUGGGAUGAAGGCCUUCGGGUUGUAAACCACUUUUGGCGGGGGAGAAAUGCCGGGUGCUAAUACCAUCCGGUGAUGACGGUACCCGCAGAAUAAGCACCGGCUAACUACGUGCCAGCAGCCGCGGUAAUACGUAGGGUGCGAGCGUUAAUCGGAAUUACUGGGCGUAAAGCGUGCGCAGGCGGUUUGGUAAGACAGAUGUGAAAUUCCCGGGCUUAACCUGGGAACUGCAUUUGUGACUGCCAGGCUAGAGUGCGGCAGAGGGGAGUGGAAUUCCGCGUGUAGCAGUGAAAUGCGUAGAUAUGCGGAGGAACACCG